GAGACAGCAGCCGCCGCGGGAAUACGAAGGGUGCAAGCGUUACUCGGAAUUACUGGGCGUAAAGCGCGCGUAGGCGGUUACUCAAGUCAGAGGUGAAAGCCCGGGGCUCAACCCCGGAACUGCCUUUGAAACUAGGUGACUAGAAUCUUGGAGAGGUCAGUGGAAUUCCGAGUGUAGAGGUGAAAUUCGUAGAUAUUCGGAAGAACACCAGUGGCGAAGGCGACUGACUGGACAAGUAUUGACGCUGAGGUGCGAAAGCGUGGGGAGCAAACAGGAUUAGAUACCCGUGUAGUCCCUGUCUCUUAUAC
rnacentral:rRNA from 1 species